rnacentral:rRNA from 1 species
UGGGGAAUAUUGCACAAUGGGGGAAACCCUGAUGCAGCGACGCCGCGUGAACGAAGAAGGUAUUCGUAUCGUAAAGUUCUGUCCUAUGGGAAGAUAAUUACAGUACCAUAGAAGAAAGCUCCGGCUAAAUACGUGCCAGCAGCCGCGGUAAUACGUAUGGAGCGAGCGUUGUCCGGAAUUAUUGGGCGUAAAGGGUACGCAGGCGGUUUAAUAAGUCGAAUGUUAAAGAUCGGGGCUCAACCCCGCAAAGCAUUGGAAACUGAUAAACUUGAGUAGUGGAGAGGAAAGUGGAAUUCCUAGUGUAGUGGUGAAAUACGUAGAUAUUAGGAGGAAUACCAGUAGCGAAGGCGACUUUCUGGACACAAACUGACGCUGAGGUACGAAAGCGUGGGGAGCAAACAGG